CGAUUGAACGCUGGCGGCAGGCCUAACACAUGCAAGUCGAGCGGCAGCACGGGUACUUGUACCUGGUGGCGAGCGGCGGACGGGUGAGUAAUGGCCUAGGAAUCUGCCUGGUAGUGGGGGAUAACGGCUCGGAAACGGACGCUAAUACCGCAUACGUCCUACGGGAGAAAGCAGGGGACCUUCGGGCCUUGCGCUAUCAGAUGAGCCUAGGUCGGAUUAGCUAGUUGGUGAGGUAAUGGCUCACCAAGGCGACGAUCCGUAACUGGUCUGAGAGGAUGAUCAGUCACACUGGAACUGAGACACGGUCCAGACUCCGUACGGGAGGCAGGCAGUGGGGAAUAUUGGACAAGUGGGACAAAGCCUAGGACUCCGAGCCAGUCGGCCGCGUGUGUGAAGGAAGGUUC
rnacentral:rRNA from 1 species